GACGAACGCUGGCGGCGUGCCUAAUACAUGCAAGUAGGACGCAGUUGCGAACGGGUGAGUAACGCGUAGGUAACUACCUAUUAGAGGGGGCUAACUAUUGGAAACGAUAGCUAAUACCGCAUACUAGUAGAUGGACCUGCGUUGUAUUAUCUAGUAGGUCGGGUAAUGGCCUACCUAGGAAACGAUACAUAGCCGACCUGAGAGGGGGAUCGGACACACUGGGACAGGUACACGGCCCAGACUCCUACGGGAGGCAGGCGUAGGGAAUCUUCGGAAAUGGGGGGAACCCUGACCGAGCAACGCCGGGUGGGUGAAGAAAGUUUUCCGAUCGUAAAGCUCUGUUGUUAAGGAAGCGGUACUUAACGAGAAAGCGACGGCUAACUACGUGCCAGAAGCCGCGGUAAUUC
rnacentral:rRNA from 1 species